UGGGAGAGAAAGAACAUAAUAAAAAGCAAAGACCAAACUGGAAACACAAGAAGUUAAGAGAGGUUCAAGGAAGCGAGCUGCUCGGCUGCACCGCCAGCUGCAACGCUCCUCAGAACAUCCAUUGCCUCUGCAACUUUAGCCUCGAGAGCUUCUGGAGACUCCAAGAGAUGGAGAACUUCGGUCUGGUCCAUCUCCAAAAGCAUCCCAGUCACUUUGGCUGCAGACUCUGCCUCGAGCUUCUCCACCAACGGGUACAGAUUCUCACCCAGCAUCUGUGUACAAACACAGACACAACUAGAGUUAGUCACAACAUUCUAAUAAAUCCCAAACAAAAGGAGUCUUCUUUUAGAGAUGAUCCUCUCUCACUCACCGUCCUCUGUUGCUCUGGAGAAGCAUUAGCCAGAUUUGAAGCCAACGUUCCAAUGGGCAAUGGCAUGUUGUUGUUGCCCAUGUCAUAUGGAGGCACAUCGCCACCACUAACACCACGCCCUUGGGAGUACCGGAUGUUCCGACCCCUUGGAUGCAUCUGAUCACCACCCAGAUAGAUUGAAAAAAAAUCAUAUGAUGAUGAUGAUGAACUAUUGUAUUAAAAGAGAGACAUGAGCAAGUGAAGAGAGUAGAGAACCUGGUGCUGCAUCAUGGGAGGUUGCUGCUGGAACUGUUGGAUCCCUCCAGGGCGUCUUCCACCACCUCCAGGGCGCUGCUGAUGUGGCUGAACCAUAGGCAUGAAGUAAUUGGGUCCAUGGCCUCCACCUGGUCUCAUCCCCGGAACAAGCUGCUGUUGGUAUCCAUAUCCGGGCUGUGUCAUUACCCACAUAAAAAGGUUAAUGAUCUUAUAAUUGAAUUCUAUAUCCAAGGUACAAGAUAGACAAGUAAAUUAAAAAAUAGAUAAAUAUCUUUGCAAGCAAUCGAACAACGAACAAUGAUGAUACCUGGGGAGGAAUCAUGGUAGGAGGGGCUUGACCAUAGAACAUCUGCUGUCCAAUACCAGGACCCCCCGGGGGAAACAUUGGCAUGCGAGGGCCAGCAGUUGGCGGCAUUGCAACUGGCCUCGGUUGGGAAAACUGAGCCUGUUCACAUCAUGUACACUCUCAGCAACAGGAGAUAAAAAUGGAAACAUGGAUAGACAACGUAGGUGUAGUUAGUAUAUCACAAAAUGGGGAGAUUCCAAGAGAAGCAAACCUGUAGUCUGACCCUUCUGUCUUCCUUCUUCUGCGCAAUAGCAACAUAGAGUGGUUUGCUUUCGACCAUCUUACCACUCAACUGUGACAUCUGCAACAUCAUUAUUCCACUGUCAGUAACAACGAAGUGCCUUACCUCACACAUACAUUGAACAAGUGUAUAUAUCCGACUUACAGCUUCUGUUGCUUCUUCGGGAGUCGAGAAAGCAACAAAACCCGAACCCUUGCUGAUUCCACUAGGAUCACGCAUCACCUGUCAUCAUAUUUAACCAAAACGCUUCUUAUAUAAUGAAGCAAGAGAGUCGUCAAUUCACUUAAAGAGAGAGAAGAUACCGAACCUUGCAAGACGUAACAGUACCAAAAGGAGAGAAUAUCUCCUUGAGUUUCUCGUCAGAUAUGCUAGGAUCCAGAUUCUUCACAUACAAGUUUGAACUCUGAAACUUUUCAGCAGCUUCCUUCAAGUUCUGCUCAUAACGGACCCUUAGUUCCGUUUCCCUCUCGGACUUCUUCUGGGCUCUACCAACAUACCACUCCUUGUCAUCAAACUUGUGCCCAUUGAGAGCCUCCACAGCCCUGGCAGCAUCAUCAGCGUUUUCAAAGUUGACAAAGCCAAAGCCCUUAGACUUCCCUUCACCGUCUUUCAUCACCACAGCACUUGUUAUCUUUCCAUACUCGCUAAAAGCCUUCUUCAAGUCAUCAUCGGUUGUGCUUUCCCCGAGAUUCUUCACGUACACGUUGGUGAACUUGGUCUUGUUAGCAGACGAGUCUCUUUCUUGUCUCCUGAGGAAAGGACCAACAUACACUUGCUUGUCGUUAAGCAACAUGCCGUUCAGUUUCUCGAUAGCUUUCUGGGCGGAUUCUUCAUCAGCGUAUUGCACAAACCCAUAGCCUUUUGACUGGCCAGAAGCAUCCACAGCCACCUUGCAGGAGACAAUGUUCCCAAAGGUUGAAAAGGUGUCAUGGAGUGCCUUGUGGUCGAUGGCCAGGUCCAAAUUCUUCAUUAUUAUAACACCAGUAAGAAAGAGAGAGAGAUAAAACAAACACACAACUGAAGAAAAACAACUAAUUUUAGUAUAAUCCCUAACAAUCACAAGACAAGAGUACCUUGAUGAAUAUGUUACCAGCACCACUUCGGCGAACACUAGGAUCACGGUGAGAGUACAUAACCCUUAUAGGUUUCCCAUAGAGAGGCAUGAAGUUCAUUUCCUGGAUUGCUCUCGCAGCUGCAAGGGAGAGAGCACAACGAAUUAACACCAAAGGAUCAACAUUUACAACACAACCCAAUCAAAUAUUUACAGUAUUACCCCUAUCAACCAAACCUAACCAGAAAGGAUCAACAUUUAUAAGUGGAAACCCUAAUCCCCUUUCUGAUAAAAAUCGAAACUUUCUCAUCUCAGAAGGCUUACCAUCUUGGGGAUUAGCGAAGUUGACGUAACCAUACCCUAGCGACUUGCGAGUGGCCAAGUCUCUGCAAACCCUAACCGAAACCACUUGACCCAUCUGGCUAAACGCCUCGAAAAGCUGCGAGUCAGUCACAUUGAGAUCCAGAUCUCCAACAUAGAGCGACGUUGUACCGAUCUGGGCCGGAGCCUGUGCUCGGCUGCACCGCCAGCUGCAACGCUCCUCAGAACAUCCAUUGCCUCUGCAACUUUAGCCUCGAGAGCUUCUGGAGACUCCAAGAGAUGGAGAACUUCGGUCUGGUCCAUCUCCAAAAGCAUCCCAGUCACUUUGGCUGCAGACUCUGCCUCGAGCUUCUCCACCAACGGGUACAGAUUCUCACCCAGCAUCUGUGUACAAACACAGACACA
rnacentral:lncRNA from 1 species